rnacentral:lncRNA from 1 species
UGGCAGUAUCUCUGCUUAAUAAGCCUCUACCACAUCGCUCACUCUCUGUUGUCCAUGGGAUUUACUCUCCCACUCCAUGAGACAAGAACCAACCUCUCCCGUAUCACUGGGAUCAUGAUCUGAGCCAGGCGGAGGUGNUUUUGAGAGCUUUGGCAGUAUCUCUGCUUAAUAAGCCUCUACCACAUCGCUCACUCUCUGUUGUCCAUGGGAUUUACUCUCCCACUCCAUGAGACAAGAACCAACCUCUCCCGUAUCACUGGGAUCAUGAUCUGAGCCAAAGGCAGAUGCUCAACCACUGAGCCACCCAGGCAUCCCUCAAUUCAGCUUUUUAAAAUAGAUAGUGCAAAUGGGCAGCACACUUCUGGAGGACCUACUCUGCUUUCUGUUUCACAUUCAGAGAGCAUAAAUGAAAUGAGGUACCUGUCUACAUUUACUACUUGUCUAAUUUUUCAGCCAGUCCUCUGUUCCCACAUCAUCUCCCUCUCAGGAUCAAAUGAAAUAAUGUCUUGGUGCAUGGAAAGUAUCAAAAGACCAUACAAGUAGAAGACACUAUUAAUAUUAUUACUUGUUGGCUUAUUCAUCUCAAGAAUCCAGCUUUUCCUAGAAUAUUGAAUACAUGAGGAGCAGGAAAACAUCUUUUUUCUCCCACUGGUGAGUAAAUGGUGUAUCUCCCCAUCUCUGCUCUGGUAUCAGGAUUGGAAAAAGAAAUAAAAUACAUUUCAAAGGAAGGAAAUAAAUUUUG